rnacentral:rRNA from 1 species
GGGACACGUGGUAUCCUGUCUGAAUAUGGGGGGACCAUCCUCCAAGGCUAAAUACUCCUGACUGACCGAUAGUGAACCAGUACCGUGAGGGAAAGGCGAAAAGAACCCCGGCGAGGGGAGUGAAAAAGAACCUGAAACCGUGUACGUACAAGCAGUGGGAGCCUCUUAAUGGGGUGACUGCGUACCUUUUGUAUAAUGGGUCAGCGACUUAUAUUCUGUAGCAAGGUUAACCGAAUAGGGGAGCCGAAGGGAAACCGAGUCUUAACUGGGCGUUAAGUUGCAGGGUAUAGACCCGAAACCCGGUGAUCUAGCCAUGGGCAGGUUGAAGGUUGGGUAACACUAACUGGAGGACCGAACCGACUAAUGUUGAAAAAUUAGCGGAUGACUUGUGGCUGGGGGUGAAAGGCCAAUCAAACCGGGAGAUAGCUGGUUCUCCCCGAAAGCUAUUUAGGUAGCGCCUCGUGAAUUCAUCUCCGGGGGUAGAGCACUGUUUCGGCAAGGGGGUCAUCCCGACUUACCAACCCGAUGCAAACUGCGAAUACCGGAGAAUGUUAUCACGGGAGACACACGGCGGGUGCUAACGUCCGUCGUGAAGAGGGAAACAACCCAGACCGCCAGCUAAGGUCCCAAAGUCAUGGUUAAGUGGGAAACGAUGUGGGAAGGCCCAGACAGCCAGGAUGUUGGCUUAGAAGCAGCCAUCAUUUAAAGAAAGCGUAAUAGCUCACUGGUCGAGUCGGCCUGCGCGGAAGAUGUAACGGGGCUAAAC